GAAAUCCGAUCUCUAGGUUCAUUCAAUAGCCAGAAUUAAGCAACAUGAAUUGUCUAAAGAUCUGCGGAUUUGUUUUUGCCUUGAUUGCGGCGCUGGCAAGUGCGAAUGCUGCCACUCAGGUGAUUCACUCUGGCGGCCACACACUCAUUCAAACAGAGAACGGUCAAUACAUACGCAAACACUAAACUGAAACUGAAAAUGGAAUAAAUUAAUAAAUUAAAAAACCAAAAUGGAAAACUAA
rnacentral:sRNA from 1 species